rnacentral:rRNA from 1 species
UACGUAGGGUGCGAGCGUUGUCCGGAAUUAUUGGGCGUAAAGGGCUCGUAGGCGGUUUGUCACGUCGGGAGUGAAAACUCGGGGCUUAACCCCGAGCCUGCUUCCGAUACGGGCAGACUAGAGGUAUGCAGGGGAGAACGGAAUUCCUGGUGUAGCGGUGAAAUGCGCAGAUAUCAAGAGGAACACCUGAGGUGAAGACGGGUUGCUGGGCCAACACUGACGCUGAGGCGCGAAAGCCAGGGGAGCAAACGGG